rnacentral:lncRNA from 1 species
GGAAAGAAUGAAGAGGUGCUGUCUGCUGUCCUUGGGGAGCCCACAGUCCUGUUGGGCAGCUAAGAUGACAUCCUCACACCCUCAUUACAACAGAGCUGAGGGAGAAUCCUUAUCCAGGAUACACGGACUGAGACCGGGAAAGGAGAGAGUCUUCAGAAGGAAACGUGCCUGUUGCUGGAAGGAAAACAAAGGGGCUGGAUACAGGAUAAGAAGCCUUCUGGGAGAUAAAGAAGCAUGACAAGACCAUGCAAAUAAUUAUGAAUGGAACCAUACACUAACAAAGUGAAUGGGUCUCCACAUCGUUAAAGCCCCUGAAAGGGUCAAAAAAAUGAGGAGGUCAAAAGUAGACAGCAUCGUCAAUACACUUGGCCAAGGGGUUUUUGCAAUGGAAAAUACCUUUGAAGGACUAAUAGUUGAAUUGGCAUGUUUAAGUCAUUUUGGCAACCAGAACUGCAACCCUGUCUCCUGAAUAAGAUACUGCUGCUCUCGCAGAACAAAAGAACCGUUAACAACACCAACUAACCCGUGUAAUUCUCAUUUAUACAUUUUUAUUACCUUCCAUAUACUCUAUGUGAUACAUUACCCAUUCCAUUAAUUGUUAACAUACACGCAAGUCAAGAUCUUUUAUUAUGCGAGGUCAUCAGUCAGUGAUAACAGAGAUAUUGAUGAAUUAGUCUCCUCAUCAGAAGUUGAGCAACAUUUCCAUUCAAGAUGAUACAUGGACCUUUAAAACAUACUCAAUAAUAUUGAGUCUCAGUCUUCUGUUGCUUUUUUCUGAAUGUGCAUUUAGACCUUUACACAUCUAUUUAGUCAUCCAUUCAUUAAACAUUCAGCAUUAAUUUUCUACUCAUAGCACCAGAACCGUGUUUGUCUUAUUCACCAUUGUACCCUUACUGCAAGGACCUAGAACAUAGUAGGAUCUCAAUAAAUUCUUAGGAUUCAAAAUAAAUGAAUGAGGAUGUGGUAGGAAGAAUUCUAACAUGGCCCCCAUGACAUUCAUCUCCUGAUGUUACUCUGUUAAUAAUGUUACCUUACAUGGAAAAGGGGUCUUGAAGAUGUAACUAAGGCUAAUAAUUAGUCAACCUUAAGACAGGGAGAUUAUGUGGAUUAAUUUUGUGUAUUAAUCAAUUUUACAUAAAAAUUUUAAAGUCAGAGAGAUAAGCAUGUAAACAUCUCUAGAUAAGAGCCCAGCUCAGCUGAUGUCUUGAUUUCAAUCUUGUGAGACCUUAAGUGCAGAACCCAGUCGAGCCCACCUGGACUUCUGACUUACAGAGCAGUGAUAUAGCAAGUGUGUGUUCUUUUGCUAAUAAAUUUGUGACAAUUUGUUACCCAGCAAGCCUAGGUAGCUAAUACAGGGGGAUUUGGGGAGGAUGGUAGUAACGGUGACAGUGUAAUAUUUUAAUCUUGCCUUACAUUAAAAACAAACAUAGCAACUAAAUAGAAAAAAACAAAACUCAUGGACAACAUCGAAUUAAAAAAAAGGCAGGUAACAAAGCAUAUCUACAAACCUCAUAUUUCAAGCCGGAGGGUAGGGAUGAGAGCCCCAAGUCCCCACGGGUCAAACUCUGCCCAGAGGAAGCAGAGGUUAGAAAUGGAGUGCCCAGAUUUGAGAAUAGGAGAAACCUUAAAUAGCCAAUAGGAACUUACUGGGAAACAGUGGACCAGCUGAGGUGGCAGGCAAAGAUGGGGCUGCCAUGACCACUCUAAAAGCUGGUGAGUGUAAGAGGCCAGUGUGAGUCCUGAAAGGGGCAGGAGCUGUCCAGGCCACAGGAGCCCUCAGUGACAACAGCCAAAGCCCCCUGCCAGGACCAGGCUCCAUACUGAGAAGAAGCUCCUGGAAAGAGAAUCCAAAUUAAAGGUAGUAAAUAAAAGUAUAGAGUCGGGGGAGUUUGGAAUAACAGCCAGAGAAAUCUUAGAAAUUAAGCCACCAUUUGUGAAUACUAUAUGAAAACAGAUGAGGAAGCUCUAUGUGAUUAGAAAAAGAGAUAUACCUAAUGUAAA